rnacentral:rRNA from 2 species
CUUUGAUUAUGGCUCAGGAUGAACGCUAGCUACAGGCUUAACACAUGCAAGUCGAGGGGAAACGACAUCGAAAGCUUGCUUUCGAUGGGCGUCGACCGGCGCACGGGUGAGUAACGCGUAUCCAACCUGCCCAUCACUUGGGAAUAACCUUGCGAAAGUAAGACUAAUACCCAAUGACAUCCCACGAAGACAUCUGAAUGGGAUUAAAGAUUUAUCGGUGAUGGAUGGGGAUGCGUCUGAUUAGCUUGUUGGCGGGGUAACGGCCCACCAAGGCGACGAUCAGUAGGGGUUCUGAGAGGAAGGUCCCCCACAUUGGAACUGAGACACGGUCCAAACUCCUACGGGAGGCAGCAGUGAGGAAUAUUGGUCAAUGGGCGAGAGCCUGAACCAGCCAAGUAGCGUGCAGGAUGACGGCCCUAUGGGUUGUAAACUGCUUUUAUAAGGGAAUAAAGUGAGUCUCGUGAGACUUUUUGCAUGUACCUUAUGAAUAAGGACCGGCUAAUUCCGUGCCAGCAGCCGCGGUAAUACGGAAGGUCCGGGCGUUAUCCGGAUUUAUUGGGUUUAAAGGGAGCGUAGGCCGGAGAUUAAGCGUGUUGUGAAAUGUAGAGGCUCAACCUCUGCACUGCAGCGCGAACUGGUCUUCUUGAGUACGCACAACGUGGGCGGAAUUCGUGGUGUAGCGGUGAAAUGCUUAGAUAUCACGAAGAGCUCCGAUUGCGAAGGCAGCUCACGGGAGCGCAACUGACGCUGAAGCUCGAAAGUGCGGGUAUCGAACAGGAUUAGAUACCCUGGUAGUCCGCACGGUAGACGAUGGAUGCCCGCUGUUGGCCUGAAUAGGUCAGCGGCCAAGCGAAAGCAUUAAGCAUCCCACCUGGGGAGUACGCCGGCAACGGUGCAACUCAAAUGAAUUGACGGA